CAUCUAUGGCUGUGACCGCGCCUCAGUAUGUCUUGGAGGAGUCGCUUUCAAGUCAAAAGCUUUGGAAACACACAGCUGGC
rnacentral:ribozyme from 1 species